AUGCAGCAGCAGAUGGCGGCGACGGUGGAAGAGCAGAUGAUGGUGAAGGCCAUCAGGGACGAGUGCCCUUGGGAGACCCUCCCCAAGCGCAUCCAGGCCGCCGUCGUCUCCAAGGACGAGUGGCACCGCAGGAUUGUAGAUUAUUGUAUACGAAAACGACUGCCAUGGAAUAACUGCUUUGCCCGUAAAGUAUGCAAAGAGGGGGAAUAUUACGAGGAUUUGUUGCGCUAUCUCCGCAGAAAUCUAGCAUUAUACCCAUACCAUCUCGCAGACUACAUCUGUCGAGUAAUGAGGAUAUCAGCAUUCAAAUAUUACUGUGACGUCCUUUUUGAAGCUAUGAAGAAUGAGCAACCAUAUGACAGUAUUCCGAACUUCAGUGCUGCUGAUGCCCUGAGGAUUACCGGUGUUGGAAGAAACGAAUUUAUUGAUAUCAUGAAUAAAUGCAAAUCGAAGAAGAUAAUGUGGAAGCUGAGCAAAUCAAUUGCGAAAGAGUUGCUGCCUGCACAACCCGCAGAUUUAGCAAUAGAACCUUGGUGGGGAGUCCGUUUCGUCAACUUUACAUUGGAAGAGUUUAAGAAGCUUUCUGAGGAAGAGACAAUAGCAAUAGACAAAAUAUGUAAGGAGGAAGUCAAUUCAUAUGUUCUGUUUGAUCCAGAAGUUAUAAAUUGUCUUUACAGAAGAGGAGGGGUAUACUUCGAUGUGCCAGUUUAUCCAGAGGACCGUUUCAGAGUUUCAAGACUUGAAGGUUUUGUUUCAAAUAAGGAUCAGUCGUACGAAGAUCCAAUUGAAGAGCUACUAUAUGCUGUAUUUGUUGUAUCAAGUGAAAAUGCCACAGUUGCUGAAUUGGCUAAAACUUUACAGGCUGACCUUUAUCAACUCCAGGCAGCUGCAUCAUUUGCCUGUAGACUGGGAUGGGCCGUAAAGCUUUUGGAUACAGAUUCCGCUCUUAGAGAUUCAAGUGCUACUGCAUUGCCCAGUAACGUUCUUGGUGACGACGAAGAAGGUUCGCGCAUGAGCAUCAACUCAGAAAGAUCCUGUCCAGAAUUGCUCAGCAGUGAUUGUGAUGGACCCAGGAAAAUCUCUGGAACUGCUUAUGUGGGCUUCAUUGUGGAUGCUAAUGUAACUUCAUACUUGAUGAUGGGCUCUCUAUCUCCAGGAUUGAAGUCUCACGCUGUUACGCUAUAUGAGGCAGGAAAACUGGGCUAUUCUUGCAUUGCUGAUCUAUGCAAUGAUCUAGCCAGUUUAGAAGGAAAGAAGUUUGAGGGUGUACUCCAGGAAUUCGCAAACCAUGCGUUUAGCCUGCGAUGCUUCCUUGAGUGUUUGCUGUCCGGUGGAACUUCACCAAAUGAAUCUAGUGACGGAAACUGUCAGGAUGAUCUGUCCUCCCCUUUAAGCAAGAAAAGCAUUGAGGAGGGCGCUGAUAAUGUUGUCGGGAAUAACGGAAGCCAACAUGGUGACACACCACAACAGGAAUACCCAACGGUUGAUUCACAGGCGUCGUCACCUUCAAGUAUUAUAUCAAGAGGGAUGGAAAGCGUAGCCGAAAAUGAUUUUGACAGCAGGCAAAUGGUUACUCAAAAUGACAAUAGCCAGGCUACAGAACUGGAUGGCCCAGCUGUGCGGAAGACUAAAAGAAAUUACCGAGUCAACAUUCUCCGUUGCGAGAGCUUAGCUUCACUGGCGCCAUCGACGCUGGAAAGAUUACUUCUUAGGGACUAUGACAUUGUGGUCUCUAUGAUACCUUUUCCACAUUCAUCAGUUCUACCCAGCACUGCAGGACCAGUACAUUUCGGUCCGCCUUCUUACUCCUCAAUGACACCUUGGAUGAAGCUUGCCUUGUAUACUUCUGGUAGUUGUGGCCCGCUCUCUGCUGUUUUCAUGAAAGGACAGCGUCUGCGGCUGCUUCCCGAGCCAUUAGCCGGCUGCGAAAAGGCACUAAUAUGGUCUUGGGAUCACUCUGUGGUGGCUGGACUAGGAGGAAACUUUGAAGAGAACCUGGUAAGGGGAGGCCUUCUUCUGCAUUACCUGAACUCAAUGACAAGACAUUCUGCUGUGAUAGUGCAACCACUUGGCAUAAAGGACCUUGAUGAAUCAGGAAACCUCGUAACCAUGGAUGUCCCAUUGCCCCUGAAAAAUGCUGAUGGGUCAAUCACAUCCGCGUUAGCCGGAACUGAUUUGCCUGAGGGGCAGAUGUCAAAUUUGACUGCCUUGUUGGAAGAUCUAUCCAGUAAAGUUGAGUUGAGCACGGUUGGUUACCUUCGUCUAGUAAGGCUUCACAGGGUAAGCGAAUCCAGUGAACUUCCAGAGAAGGAAAGCUUUGAGUGGAUACCAUUGAACUUGGAAUUCGGAAUUCCUUUGUUCAAUCCAAAGCUGUGCGAAAGAAUAUGUGAAAGGGUCGUUGACUCAAAUAUGCUUCAGAAAGAUGAUCUCACCGAACACUAUGAGUCUAUGCAGACGGUGAGGAAGAGGUUGCGCGAACUUUGCACCGAGUACCAAGCAACCGGUCCAACAGCAAGGCUAUUAAAUCAGCGGGGAGGCUCGAAGAACUCUCCGCGCCAACUCCAACUCAUGAAUAUUGUGAGUGGAAGAUGGAGUCCAUUCCAUGAUCCAUCAUCGCCUACCCAAGGAGGGACGUCACCAGGUGAACAUGUCAGGCUGAAGCUUGGAAGACGGCAGAAGUGCUUUACUGAAGUUCUGAGCUUUGAUGGGAGCAUCCUCAGGUCCCACGCACUCACUCCUGUGUAUGAGGCUGCUACAAGAUCUGUCACUGAAGAUCAACCAUCCCCUUCUCCGAAAACUGAUUCAGAAGAUUCUGAUACCAAGGAUGUGGUCUUACCAGGAGUCAAUCUCAUAUUUGAUGGCGCUGAGCUGCACCCGUUCGACAUUGGCGCUUGCCUCCACGCCCGCCAACCCUUGUCAUUGAUAGCUGAGGCGUCGGCGGCGUCAUUGGCCAUGAAAUGA
rnacentral:rRNA from 1 species